CUGUCCACUGUUGACAAUUGUAGAUUUGGCUUUGGCAACUGUUGACGAGGGGUGAAGGUGGUGUCAACUGUUGACAAUGGAGGAGGGUGUGUGUCUGCUGUUGACAAUUGUGGAUGUGGCUUUGGCAACUGUUGACAAGGGUGAAGGCGGUAUCAACUGUUGACAAUCGAUGUGGUGUGUCCGCUGUUGACAAUUGUGGAUGUGGCUUUAGCAACUGUUGACGAGGGGUGAAGGUGGUGUCAACUGUUGACAAUGGAGGAAGGGGUGUGUCUGCUGUUGACAAUUGUGGAUGUGGCUUUGUCUACUGUUGACAAGGGGGUGAAGGUGGUGUCAAGUGUUGACAAUGGAGGCGGGGGGUUGGGGUGUCAGAUGUUGACAAUUGUGGAUGUGGCUUUGUCAAAUGUUGACGAGGUUGAAAGCGGUGUCAACUAUUGACAAUGGAGGAAGGGGUGUGAAAGUAUCGAGGGCUUCCCCAACUUUCAUUUUCAAAAUCAUGUGUUAGCCCAGGCUUUUUUUUAUAAUGGUAUCUACGCCCCUAUCAAUAUCUCUGGGGAGUUAUAUUACAGGGUAACCCAGAUGACAAGAGCAAGAUGAGAUAAUAUUUUUGACUUCUGAAACAUUAAUAAUUUUGAACAUUGACAAACUGUGUCAUAUGCUCGGUUUAUUUCAUACCACACACAUAGGCCUAUUAACACUCAUGUUCAUAAUUGCAAUAAUCACAACACAGUAUUGUGUGCACACUUAAUUCCUUUUUUCUCUGUUUCCAAGUAAUACUCACAAGUACAAUACCAGAACAGGCUUAACCCCCUCUGCAGCAUCUGCAGGCACGAUUAUCAGCACAGUGUAUAAGGUAUAAUUACAGUAAUUCUGAUCUCACAACCUAAUCAGCUGCUGAUCCAAAGUCGAACCACUAUUUGCCUGUUCUAGACUCUCCCUGUACUCACGUAUCAUGUGCGGCACAUUGUACAUUACUAGAGUUGGACAGCAAUGGUUUUUAUCUUUCAGUUUUACCCAAAACAGAUUCUCAAAAAUAUGCCAUGUUUAUAUUUUAAUGACAUAUUUGAUUAUUGAACUGUUUGAUCGCCAUUCUAGAAGUUAGAUAUCAACAAAGCUGCAUGCUUCAUCGAAAGUUGCUAACAACAUCAUGUUAAUACAGUUCACAUAAGCUUGCAAUAUCUUAAAAGCAAUCAUUUUUUAUGUUAUUUGUUUGUUUGUUGGUCAACGCCUCACUCAGCAAUAUUCCAGCCAUAUGGAGGCAGUCUGUAAACAAUUGGACCAGACAAUCCAGUGGUCAACAUCAUGAGCAUUGAUCUACACAACUGGGAUAUGAUGACAUGUGUCGGACAGCGAGUCUCACCCCUCAUCCCUUUACCCGCCUCUUACCACAACAAUUUUCUAUGUUAAAUGUGGACUGGUCCAUGUUAUAUGUGGACUGGUCCAUGUUAUAUGUGGACUGGUCCAUGUUAUAUGUGGACUGGUCCAUGUGAUUGUGGACUGGUCCAUGUUAUAUGUGAACUGGUCCAUGUUAUAUGUGGACUGGUCCAUGUGAUUGUUGAUAGUUUUGUUUAUUUAAUCAUGGAAGAGUGCAAUAUUCUACAUUUCUUAUUCCUGUUUCAAUUGUUGAUGGUCUUUGAAGCUUCCCAAGUGUGUGAGUGAGGUAACAUUGAAAACUGCAUUGGCGGACUCUUAUCAUACAGUAUUACAUUGUUCUAAAAAUAUUUAUCUUAACACAUAAAUUUGCUAUUUUCUUUAUUUACAUAUAUGUACAAUAUAUACAUUUUCACAACAAAAUACAGUUUUAGGUGUAACUCAUGAGAACAUAAUUCCAUUAUUUUGUACAUUGUCAAUAAAAUGGAAAUUUAUCCAGUUAAUUAAACAAAUGCAUUAGUAAGCCAAAUUAAAUGAGAUGACAUUGUCUAUUAUUGUCUCUUGUAUAUUCAAUAAAGUGUUUAAUUAUGCUUAAGAA
rnacentral:lncRNA from 1 species